GCUCUGGGUCACAUGGGAGAGCCAGAAGAAGCCUUUCCCAAAUCCUGUCCCUUGGACUUUUGCCUGGACAGGACCGUGUUUCCACAGAGGCAGGAGGAAAUGAGACCAGGAAGGGCAAGGUGUCCCGUGCAAUUUUGGUAGCUGGCCUCCCGGUUUUCUGCUGCAUUUCGGGGAUUCACAGACUGGCGGGCUCACCACGCAGGCAGAAAUGACUUGUUCGGUCCUCUGGUUUCUUAUGGUGAGUAAAUACGUCUAACUGUUGGAUUUGCUAAUUAUUGUGAUUUUUCGGGGUGAGG
rnacentral:lncRNA from 1 species